AUUGUUCGUGACAUGAACUAAAUGCUCGAAGAGAGAUGUAUGAGAAGUAUGAAAUGUGACAAACGUCGGAAAUAGUGAGUCAUGCCAAGCCAGUAACCAAGAUCCGCAUGCAUCUGAACCGAAAUCAGUGGCAGCCAAGUGUCGUUUCUUCAACGCCGGACAACACUGCUAACCUUACCUAUCCUCUAGCCCGCAAUGGUUUUUUCGUCUUCUGCUUCUUCUGCAACACCCCUCGAGCAUACCGUGUGUAUACACCACGAUGAAAAGUCUUGGGACACGAGUACCACAUCUUACAAAACUGGAAAAAAAUCUGUCAAGCGUUAGUGUACAGGGAGUGUCGAGAAUGUCGAGAAGAAGUUACAGUGGCUCAAAAAUGGCAUCAUUUCAUUUAAAAAGGGAACGAACUUAAUCUUUGUAUGAUUCUCAAUGUAUUUGGCCAUGAAAGGAGUAUUGAUACUAUAUUGAUCAUAUAUUUCUUGACAUCGAGCCGGAUAUAUACAUAUUCUAUUAUACGUGGCUUAUCCUAUACUAACUAUUAUACUAUCCUGUAUUAACUAUUAUAUGUACAAUAAGCUGUAUGCUAGGACAAACGUAAUUAGUUCUUGAACCUCCUUCGUUAUAGUAUACACUGAAAUAAUAUAUGUAUUUAAGAGUUAAUCCAUUCCGAAUACAGAGUGAAGAGUAAAAUUCUCAGUAAUAUAACGGAGGAAAAAUAUAAUAUACAUUCAAAACUAACAUAAAAUUUACUUUUUUAGUGAAAAAUACUAUAUAGAAACGUUUUAACAUGUUGAACAAAGAUCAGUCACUGU